rnacentral:rRNA from 1 species
UUCUUCCCGCCUAUAUACCACCGUCGUCAGCUUACCCUGUGAAGGACUAAUAGUAAGCAAAACUGGCAAAGCCCAAAACGUCAGGUCGAGGUGUAGCGUAUGGAAGGGGAAGAAAUGGGCUACAUUCACUAACUCAGUGUAUACGAAUGACACCCUGAAACACGUGUCUGAAGGAGGAUUUAGCAGUAAGCAGAAAAUAGAGUGUUCUGCUGAAACUGGCCCUGAAGCGCGCACACACCGCCCGUCACUCUCCCCGAGCUAAGACUUCCAAGUAAAUAAAUACCUAUAAUUGCAAAGGGGAGGCAAGUCGUAACAUGGUAAGUGUACCGGAAGGUGCACUUGGAAAAAC